rnacentral:rRNA from 1 species
GCAAGUCGAGCGCCCUCUUCGGAACUUUAGUAGAGUGGCGCACGGGUGAGUAACGCGUAAGUAAUCUACCCUGAUAUCUGGGAUAACAAUUCGAAAGGAUUGCUAAUACCGGAUACGCUGAUUUAUCAGGAAAGGUGGCCUCUGUUUCAUGCUACCGUAUCAGGAGGAGCUUGCGUACCAUUAGCUAGUUGGUGGGGUAAUGGCCUACCAAGGCGACGAUGGUUAGCGGGUCUGAGAGGAUGAUC